rnacentral:rRNA from 1 species
AUUGAACGCUGGCGGCAGGCCUAACACAUGCAAGUCGAACGAGUGGCGGACGGAUGGGUAAUGUCUGUGAAACUGCCCGAGGGAGGGGGAUAGCUAAUGGAAACGGUAACUAAUACCGCAUACAAUCGGAUGUGCCCAGAUGGGAUUAGCUAGUAGGUGUGGUAAUGGAUGACCUAGGCGACGAUCCCUAGCGGGUCUGAGAGGAUGACCAGCCACACUGGAACUGAGACACGGUCCAGACUCCUACGGGAGGCAGCAGUGGGGAAUAUUGCAAAAUGGGCGAAAGCCUGAUGCAGCCAUGCCGCGUGUAUGAAGAAGGUCUUCGGGUUGUAAAGCACUUUCAGCUAGGAGGCGUUACUCGCAGAAUAAGCACCGGCUAACUCCGUGCCAGCCGCCGCGGUAAUUC